ensembl:antisense Gm14637 predicted gene 14637
GACACGGGGUCCGUGCGUGUGCAUACAGGCACAUCUUCCUUUCUUCUACACAGAGUGGAAGCUGGAGCUGGUUAUUGUCCGGGUCAAUGUGUACAUUUCCAGAUUCUGCUCUGUGAAUUGAAACGCCAACUUUCCCAUUAUAAACGCAUCAGUGUGAUCACCUUGACUUAGCCUGCUGCCGAGGACUUCUGCUCCAGCCAAAUGCCUCCCAGCCAAGACCCAAGGAGCUUGCCAAAUGGUUUCAUUUCUCGGAUCGUCAGAACUCAUCGGCUCCCUUUGCAUUGUGUGUUUCCUGGCAACCCUGAGACAAAGCACUUCUCACCGUUGAACCUAUUAGGAAAUGUGGUACCACCAGUCUCAUCCAGUCUAAUCCCUCGGGGUGGAUGCAGAGGGAGAGAUAGGAAAGAGAAGGUUACGGUGAGUUAACUAAACUGCAUCCUCACAGAUA